rnacentral:rRNA from 1 species
UACGGAGGGUGCAAGCGUUAUCCGGAUUCACUGGGCUUAAAGGGUGCGUAGGCGGGCAGGUAAGUCAGUGGUGAAAUCUUCGAGCUUAACUCGGAAACUGCCGUUGAUACUAUCUGUCUUGAAUCCCGUGGAGAUGAGCGGAAUAUGUCAUGUAGCGGUGAAAUGCUUAGAUAUGACAUAGAACACCAAUUGCGAAGGCAGCUCGUUGCACGAAGAUUGACUCUGAGGCACGAAAGCGUGGGGAUCAAACAGG